rnacentral:rRNA from 1 species
UACGAAGGGGGCGAGCGUUGUUCGGAUUUACUGGGCGUAAAGGGCGCGCAGGUGGUUCUGUAUGUCUACCGUGAAAGCGUACGGCUCAACCGUAUUUUGUCGGUAGAAACUGCAGGACUUGAGGCUGGGAGGGGCUGGUGGAAUUCCCUGUGUAGCGGUGAAAUGCGUAGAGAUGGGGGAGAACACUCGUGGCGAAGGCGGCCAGCUAGACCAGUUCUGACACUGAGGCGCGACAGCGUGGGGAGCAAACAGG